CCUACGGGGGGCAGCAGUGGGGAAUAUUGCACAAUGGGGGAAACCCUGAUGAAGCACCGCGGGGUGGGGGUUGAAGGCCUUCGGGUCGUAAGGCUCUGUCUUAAGGGAAGAUUCUUGCCGGUACCUUAGGAGGAGGCCCGGGCUAACUACGUGCCAGCAGCCGCGUAAUUACGUAGGGGGCUAGCGUUAUCCGGAAUUACUGGGCGUAAAGGGUGCGUAGGCGGCCCUUCAAGUCAGAGGUGAAAGGCUACGGCUCAACCGUAGUAAGCCUUUGAAACUGUAGGGCUUGAGUGCAGGAGAGGAGAGUGGAAUUCCCAGUGUAGCGGUGAAAUGCGUAGAUAUUGGGAGGAACAUCAGUUGCGAAGGCGGCUCUCUGGACUGUAACUGACGCUGAGGCACGAAAGCGUGGGGAGCGAACAGGAUUAGAUACCCGGGUAGUC
rnacentral:rRNA from 1 species